AACGAACGCUGGCGGCAGGCCUAACACAUGCAAGUCGAACGGAUCCUUCGGGAUUAGUGGCGGACGGGUGAGUAACACGUGGGAACGUGCCCUUUGGUUCGGAACAACUCAGGGAAACUUGAGCUGAUACCGGAUGUGCCCUUCGGGGAAAGAUUUAUCGCCAUUGGAGCGGCCCGCGUCUGAUUAGCUAGUUGGUGAGGUAAAGGCUCACCAAGGCGACGAUCAGUAGCUGGUCUGAGAGGAUGAUCAGCCACAUUGGGACUGAGACACGGCCCAAACUCCUACGGGAGGCAGCAGUGGGGAAUCUUGCGCAAUGGGCGAAAGCCUGACGCAGCCAUGCCGCGUGAAUGAUGAAGGUCUUAGGAUUGUAAAAUUCUUUCACCGGGGACGAUAAUGACGGUACCCGGAGAAGAAGCCCCGGCUAACUUCGUGCCAGCAGCCGCGGUAAU
rnacentral:rRNA from 1 species